GGGGGGGCGCGGGAUCUUGGGCUGUGUCCCCCAGCGCCCUGGGCUCUGGGGCCUGCUCCGCUGGAAUUGUGCUCCUGGAACCGCAGCCCCCU
rnacentral:pre_miRNA from 1 species